GGGUCAGUAGGUUGGUCGUGCCACCGGUACGUACUGGUCUCACUGAUUCCUCCUUCCUGAAGAACCGUAAUGCCAUUAAUUUGGUGUUGCGGGGAAACAGGACUGUUACUUUGAAAAAAUUAGAGUGUUUAAAGCAGGCUAACGCUUGAAUACAUUAGCAUGGAAUGAUGAAAUAGGACGAUCGAUCCUAUUUUGUUGGUUUCUAGGAUUGACGUA
rnacentral:rRNA from 1 species